AUUUACGAAAUUGGGUGACAUGCAUUUUUAUUGCUGUCGAGACGAAGAAUAAAUUAUAAAAUACUUGGGUACAUCAAUAUAUUGGUUAAGAGAAUUUCAUAUCUGCAUGUGUUGGCUCCGUCUUACUAAUGCACGAUAUAUCAAAAUUACGUUAUUCGGAAUAUAAUUUAUCACUAACGAAACGUAAACAUUUAAAACUAUU